rnacentral:rRNA from 1 species
CACUGUCACUCCUACGGGAGCAGCAGUGGGAAUAUUGCACAAUGGGCGCAAGCCUGAUGCAGCCAGUGCCGCGUGUAUGAAGAAGGCCUUCGGGUUGUAAAGUACUUUCAGUCGUGAGGAAGGCGGCGUCGUUAAUAGCGGCGUUCGUUUGACGUUAGCGACAGAAGAAGCACCGGCUAACUCCGUGCCAGCAGCCCGCGGUAAUACGGAGGGUGCGAGCGUUAAUCGGAAUUACUGGGCGUAAAGCGCAUGCAGGUGGUUUGUUAAGUCAGAUGUGAAAGCCCCGGGGCUCAACCUCGGAAUUGCAUUUGAAACUGGCAGACUAGAGUACUGUAGAGGGGGUAGAAUUUCAGGUGUAGCGGUGAAAUGCGUAGAGAUCUGAAGGAAUACCGGUUGGCGAAGGCGGCCCCCUGGACAGAUACUGACACUCAGGACUGCGAAAGCGUGGGGAGCCAAACAGGAUUAGAUACCCUGGUAG